GGUCAGCUGAUUUAUAUAUUGAGAAAGAAUUCCCUCGUGAAAAUUCAUCUGCGUUUUAUUAAAUUUGAUAUGUUGUAUUUUCUAGAAAACCCAUUGCGUUGAGGCGAACGACGGUAAUAUGUGACUCUGCCAUUGUAUGAUUUAUUCCGAUGGUCAAUUAUUUGUUGAAUCUAAACGUUGUAUCUUUUAUUUGUUUAUAGAUAUGUUAUUAG
rnacentral:lncRNA from 1 species